AGUGAACGCUGGCGGUAGGCCUAACACAUGCAAGUCGAACGGCAGCACAGUAAGAGCUUGCUCUUACGGGUGGCGAGUGGCGGACGGGUGAGGAAUACAUCGGAAUCUACUUUUUCGGGGGGGAUAACGUAGGGAAACUUACGCUAAUACCGCAUACGACCUACGGGGGAAAGCAGGGGAUCUUCGGACCUUGCGCGAUUGAAUGAGCCGAUGUCGGAUUAGCUAGUUGGCGGGGUAAAGGCCCACCAAGGCGACGAUCCGUAGCUGGUCUGAGAGGAUGAUCAGCCACACUGGAACUGAGACACGGUCAAGACUCCUACGGGAGGCAGCAGUGGGGAAUAUUGGACAAAGGGCGCAAGCCUGAUCCAGCCAUACCGCGUGGGUGAAGAAGGCCUUCGGGUUGUAAAGCCCUUUUGUUGGGAAAGAAAAGCAGCAGGUUAAUACCCCGCUGUUCUGACGGUACCCAAAGAAUAAGCACCGGCUAACUUCGUG
rnacentral:rRNA from 1 species